rnacentral:rRNA from 1 species
AUACGUAGGGGGCUAGCGUUAUCCGGAAUUACUGGGCGUAAAGGGUGCGUAGGUGGUUUCUUAAGUCAGAGGUGAAAGGCUACGGCUUAACCGUAGUAAGCUCUUGAAACUGGGAAACUUGAGUGCAGGAGAGGAAAGUGGAAUUCCUAGUGUAGCGGUGAAAUGCGUAGAUAUUAGGAGGAACACCAGUAGCGAAGGCGGCUUUCUGGACUGUAACUGACACUGAGGCACGAAAGCGUGGGGAGC